rnacentral:rRNA from 1 species
ACUCCUACGGGAGGCAGCAGUGGGGAAUUUUGCACAAUGGGCGGAAGCCUGAUGCAGCGACGCCGCGUGGAGGAUGAAGGCCUUCGGGUUGUAAACUCCUUUUGUAGGGGACAAUGAUGAUGGUACCCUGCGAAUAAGCCACGGCUAACUCUGUGCCAGCAGCCGCGGUAAGACAGAGGUGGCGAGCGUUGUUCGGAAUCACUGGGCUUAAAGGGCGCGUAGGUGGUAGCGCAAGUCUGGGGUGGAAUCCUAUGGCUUAACCAUAGAAUUGCCUUGGAAACUGUAUUACUUGAGUCAGUGAGGGGAGGGUAGAAUUCCUGGUGUAGCGGUGAAAUGCGUAGAUAUCAGGAGGAAGGCCUGUGGCGAAGGCGGCCCUCUGGCGCUGAACUGACACUGAGGCGCGAAAGCGUGGGGAGCAAACAGGAUUAGAUACCCUGGUAGUCCACGCCCUAAACGGUGGGCACUAGGUGUAGGGCUCGUAAGGGUUCUGUGCCGAAGCGAAAGCAUUAAGUGCCCCGCCUGGGGAG